UCUAUUUGUCCCCGUUCUGUCAUGGAUGAAAGAUCCCAGUAUUGCUACCUGGUGACAAAGCACAGGACAGUCUGAACACAGAACCUCUCACACAGCCUUCCAGAGCAUCCAGGCAAGGGAGGGAGGCUCACCAGCCUUGGGUGGGCCAUCAAUCUGGCCAUCUGUUACCUUGUAGAAGGAAACUGUGCCUUCUGGCCUGCUCCUCAUGUUCACAACAUCACAGAAGUACAACCAAGCCAUGAGGAGAGUGGGCUGGCCUGCUAGAUGUUGUCUGUGCCUAUUCCUGCUCAGCCUCCCAUUUAGUAACCUAAAACAUCCCAGCUCGAAUUCAGCCACAGGCUUUUACAAAGCAGGACUCCAUGCUAAUUCACAGAAG
rnacentral:lncRNA from 1 species